CCCCGGGCCUUGUACACACCGCCCGUCAAGCCAUGGAAGUUGGGAGUGCCUGAAGUCCAUCACCGCAAGGAGUGGCCUAGGGCAAAACCGAGGGUGACGUGGGGCU
rnacentral:rRNA from 1 species